rnacentral:rRNA from 1 species
GAUGAACGCUGGCGGCGUGCUUAGCACAUGCAAGUCGAACGGAAAGGCCCAAGCUUGCUUGGGUACUCGAGUGGCGAACGGGUGAGUAACACGUGGGUGAUCUGCCCUGCACUUCGGGAUAAGCCUGGGAAACUGGGUCUAAUACCGGAUAGGACCACUUCUUGGAUGUUGUGGUGGAAAGUUUUUUCGGUGUGGGAUGAGCUCGCGGCCUAUCAGCUUGUUGGUGGGGUAAUGGCCUACCAAGGCGUCGACGGGUAGCCGGCCUGAGAGGGUGUACGGCCACAUUGGGACUGAGAUACGGCCCAGACUCCUACGGGAGGCAGCAGUGGGGAAUAUUGCACAAUGGGCGCAAGCCUGAUGCAGCGACGCCGCGUGGGGGAUGACGGCCUUCGGGUUGUAAACUCCUUUCGCUAGGGACGAAGCGUUUUGUGACGGUACCUGGAGAAGAAGCACCGGCUAACUACGUG